rnacentral:rRNA from 1 species
GACGAACGCUGGCGGCGUGCCUAAUACAUGCAAGUAGAACGCUGAAGGAGGAGCUUGCUCUUCUGGAUGAGUUGCGAACGGGUGAGUAACGCGUAGGUAACCUGCCUGGUAGCGGGGGAUAACUAUUGGAAACGAUAGCUAAUACCGCAUAACAGUAGAUGUUGCAUGACAUUUACUUAAAAGGUGCAAUUGCAUCACUACUAGAUGGACCUGCGUUGUAUUAGCUAGUUGGUGGGGUAACGGCUCACCAAGGCGACGAUACAUAGCCGACCUGAGAGGGUGAUCGGCCACACUGGGACUGAGACACGGCCCAGAAUCCUACGGGAGGCAGCAGUAGGGAAUCUUCGGCAAUGGACGGAAGUCUGAACGAGCAACGCCGCGUGAGUGAAGAAGGUUUUCGGAUCGUAAAGCUCUGUUGUAAGAGAAGAACGAGUGUGAGAGUGGAAAGUUCACACUGUGACGGUAUCUUACCAGAAAGGGACGGCUAACUACGUG